rnacentral:lncRNA from 1 species
GGGGGGAUGUCUUUUUUUUUCUUACUUUUUUCUUUUUUUGUUUUUAUUCUUUCUUUCCUAUAAUUCCAUUUUGAUUUCUAUUUCGAGAGAGAAAUUUAUUGUCAUGAUUCAUGAACUAAUGGACUCUCUAUUUUUUUUCGUAAUUGAAAAUUCGAGGUUGAAAUGUAUAUGUGAUAUUUCUAUAAAGCGCAUUUUAUUUAUUGAUAAGGUUAUUAUCAACAAAGAAAAAUCAAAAUUCUUAAAAGAUGAGAUCAAUUCAUAAUGAAAGAGCCCAAUGCAAAAAAAAUGCAUGUUGGGUCUUUGAAACAGUUCAGAUCAUUUGAAUAAUAAUAAGCUUGACCUGUU